rnacentral:tRNA from 1 species
GGGGCGAUGCCCAAGUGGCUAAUAGGGAUAGAUUGUAAAUUCGUUGGCAAUAUGUCUACAUUGGUUCAAAUCCAGCUCGACCCA